GUGUGUGUGUGUGUGUGUGUGUGUGUGUGUGUGUGUGUGUGCAGAGCUGUCAGAGGUGCUCUGGACCAUGGUGAUGCAUCUGGGUCUGUCCUCCCGGAGCGGCGGCGGGUUCUUCGGCCUGUCUAUCAUCUUCUCGGCCUUUGCCACCCUCACUGUUGCCAUCCUGCUCGUCAUGGAGGGGCUGUCCGCCUUUCUGCACGCCCUGCGUCUGCACUGCCACCAUCCAUUCAUCGUGGGCUCGUUAGUGGCUGAAUCCUGUUGGGAUCUGGUGCAGCAUGCUGCAGUUGUGUUCCACAGACCGUUCCUUUUAAACCGGGUCAGCAUGUUUUCUUGAAUCCCUCCGGUCUGUGGGUCUGCUAGCAGCACAGAGCUUCCCGUCAUGAUUAUGAGACGGAUAAACAAAGACAGGGAGAGAAUAUACAGCGUGUUUUGGUUGGACAGAGGUACGGUGUUAAUGCUUAACUGCUGCUCUCAGCGCUGAUUGUUGUAAGUAGGUUUAAGUAGACUCUGUCUGUCCGUCUGUUGUUCUUGUAAACUAGUGGAAAGCGAUCUAGCCACCUUGCACAUUAUGAGCCCAGCUGUCUUUUAUCCAGACAGCGUUGUUAGUCCAAGAAACCUACAGUGCGUGUUGUGUAACCCCACCUAUCUGCCUCACUCAUGGGCCGGUUGCAUGUUCCAGGCUGGAGGGGUUGUUGUACGAAGCUUUGCUGCGGACCAGACUGUAGUGGAAAGAGCUGAGUUGAACCACAGACAGCAUUAAUAUGAACGGCUUUGAUUGAAAAGCCAAAGAUUGGCUCGAGGCCAAACAACACACCCAUAUCUACAAAUCAGCAGCUGCAGAAGCUUUAUUUAUGACAGAGGAGACAACAAGAACUCGUAGUGAAAUACCUUUAGGAAGUGGCAGAUAUUAUUAAAGGUUGGCCUCAGCUGCCUUUUGUAGCAUGGCAACAGGUGUACAGGAUUGACACAAACUCGCAUAAUCUAGAUCAUAUUUCACCAGUUGGAUGUUACAUGGAUACCAGCAUACCACCAGAUACAAGAUAUGUUUCUGUGCUUUAAAAAAGAUUCCACGUUGUAAACAGUUCACCCCAGUCCCGUGUGUACCACUUGGUCACAUAGUGGGAAAGUAAAGAAAGGUAUUCUAAUGAUCUCACACAUGUGAACCGUCUGCCCAGAAACCUGAAAUGUUUGCCCUGGUCGAAACCAAAACCUCAAUCCCACACACACUCCUGCUGCCCCACAUACACACUAGAGCACCAGAUGUGGAUUAAUCCACUGCUGAAAAUAGUCCCCAACAAAUGCACUAUUCCCUGUGUUUGUGAAGGGGCCAAUGUGUUUAAAGCAUAACAAGUUCAACAAAAACAUUAUUUACACAGUGUUAUCAUUUACAUUAUGUUGAAUAGGUUUAUGUAUUGUGCUAACCAGCUAGCCCCGGCUCGUCCUCUCUUGUAACACUGCCUGUAUACUUGGAGAAGCUGUAGUGAGUCAGUGUAGCGUCCAGUCUGUCCUCAGUCUAACAUGAGAGGACCAACAAGUGUAGCAAUAAUGCUGCCCUUUAUUUCUAUGGAGGAUGGAUUCAGGCAUCCCACAAUGCUCCGUUAAGAACAAAUGACUAAAACACAGUAAAAACAAAUACGGUAACAAGUUUGAAAAAGAGUGUUUUUAAGAAAGGUUGGACAGAAGAAACAGAGCCUGAUGUCCUCCAGUACAAACCAAUGGGCAUGUGGCUGACAGACAGGAAGUAGUGAGAGAGGGACUAACGGUUACAAAAGAAAAUGCAAAGAAUCGACAGGCUCAUCCUUUAAAUGCUCAAAUAGGAUUUUUUUUUAAAAUUAAUUUCUAAAAUGCAGUAUUGGGUGUAAUACUCAUAGACAGGUAACAAAUCAGCUGUGAAUUAAAUGAGAAAGUUCAAAUGACAUGAACAGAAUGGAGCCUUAUCACCGUGAUUCUACAUUAUCCAACAUGAGUGAAUGAAUAAGCUUCCAGUGGCCCACAGAGGGGCAGCUCUCAGGCUCCAGUGUGUCCCACUGUCUGGAAGCGGCGCACUUUGUUAAUAAAGCAGCAGUGUGUCGGCUCAACAGCUCUCCGCUAAGGUUAAAAAGGAGUAGUGGAGUAUUUUUCACAGAGGCGAGCAAAUGGAAAAAGUCAUGUUCAAAGUAAACAGCAGUCAACGCGGACGCUCCGCUCUGCUGUCCACCCUUCACAGGCACAUGCUGAUGAGUUUCACACACUCACACACACCACAGUCAGUGGCGUCUAGUGUGUGUAAGCUACAGCUCAGUGCAGAUGAGAGGAU